AUUGAACGCUGGCGGCAUGCCUUACACAUGCAAGUCGAACGGCAGCACGGGUGCUUGCACCUGGUGGCGAGUGGCGAACGGGUGAGUAAUAUAUCGGAACGUACCUUAUUGUGGGGGAUAACGCAGCGAAAGCUGUGCUAAUACCGCAUAAUCCCUAAGGGGAAAAGCGGGGGACCGUAAGGCCUCGCGCAAUUAGAGCGGCCGAUACCUGAUUAGCUAGUUGGUGAGGUAAAGGCUCACCAAGGCAACGAUCAGUAGCUGGUCUGAGAGGACGAUCAGCCACACUGGGACUGGGACGCGGCCCAGACUCCUACGGGAGGCAGCAGUGGGGAAUUUUGGACAAUGGGGGCAACCCUGAUCCAGCAAUGCCGCGGGAGUGAAGAAGGCCUUCGGGUUGUAAAGCUCUUUUGUCAGGGAAGAAACAGCAGCUCUAACACAGUUUGCGAAUGACGGUACCUGAAGAAUAAGCACCGGCUAACUACGUGCCAGCCGCCGCCGUAA
rnacentral:rRNA from 1 species